CUUUUUAGCUCACCUGGCCCGAAGGGCCAAGUGAGCUUUUCUCAUCACUUGGCGUCCGGCGUCCGUCGUCCGUCGUCCGUCGUCCGUCGUCCGUCGUCCGUCGUCCGUCGUCGUCGUCGUCGUCGUCGUCGUCGUUAACUUUUACAAAAAUCUUCUCCUCUGAAACUACUGGACCAAAUUAAACCAAACUUGGCCACAAUCAUCAUUGGGGUAUAUAGUUUAAAAAUUGUGUCCGAUGACCCGCCCAACCAACCAAGAUGGCCGCCAUGGCUAAAAAUAGAACAUAGGGGUAAAAUGCAGUUUUUGGCUUAUAACUCAAAAACCAAAGCAUUUAGAGCAAAUCUGACAUGGGGUAAAAUUGUUUAUCAGGUCAAGAUCUAUCUGCCCUGAAAUUUUCAGAUGAAUCGGACAACCCGUUGAUAGGUUGCUGCCCCUGAAUUGGUAAUUUUGAGAAAAUUUUGCUGUUUUUGGUUAUUAUCUUGAAUAUUAUUAUAGAUAGAGAUAAACUGUGAACAACAAAAAUGUUCAACAAAGUAAGAUCUACAAAUAAGUCAACAUGACCAAAAUGGACUGUUGACCCCUUUAGAAGUUAUUGCCCUUUAUAGUCAAUUUUUAACCAUUUUUCGUAAAUCUUAAUUAUCUUUUACAAAAAUCUUCUCCUCUGAAACUACUGGACCAAAUUAAACCAAACUUGGCCACAAUCAUCAUUGGGGUAUCUAGUUUAAAAAUUGUGUCCGGUGAUCCGGCCAACCAACCAAGAUGGCCGCCAUUGCUAAAAAUAGAACAUAGGGGUAAAAUGCAGUUUUUGGCUUAUCACUCAAAAACCGAAGCAUUUAGAGCAAAUCUGACGUGUAGUAAAAUUGUUUAUCAGGUCAAGAUCUAUCUGCCCUGAAAUUUUGAGAUGAAUCGGACAACUCGUUGAUAGGUUGCUGCCCUGAAUUGGUAAUUUUAAGGAAAUUUUGCUGUUUUUGAUUAUUAUCUUGAAUAUUAUUAUAGAUAGAGAUAAACUGUAAACAGCAAAAAUGUUCAGCUAAGUAAGAUCUACAAAUAAGUCAACAUGACCAAAAUGGUCUGUUGACCCCUUUAGGAGUUAUUGCCCUUUAUAGUCAAUUUUUAACCACAUUUUUCGUAAAUCUUAGUUAUCUUUUACAAAAAUCUUCUCCUCUGAAACUACUGGACCAAAUUAAACCAAACUUGGCCACAAUCAUCAUUGGGGUAUCUAGUUUAAAAAUUGUGUCCGGUGACCCGCCCAACCAACCAAGAUGG
rnacentral:lncRNA from 1 species